AGCCACGGCAGCUGGCCAAUCAAGGUGUUCGUAUGCAGCGAAGGAAGUAACCAAUCAAUUUUUUAAUUUCCUUCUGUAAACGGGAGUGAAUCGGGGUGGAUUUGAAAUCUCAUUAGUCAAAAAGCUAAGAAGGUGAAGUAAUUGAAAGCGCCCCUUUCUUUUCACUCUGAUCUGAAAUUACAACAGGCUGAGUGGAGCGGGAAUGAGCCUGUGUGUUGCUCAAGCUGUGAAGAGCCAAGUUACAGAAGAGGUAGAGGAAAUAUGACAGGGCUCAAACAACGGCUGCUGAAUUAUAAUAUUUCUGAAGGCCCUAAAGUAUGCUCUUUCUUCCCUCACCCCCUUGCCCCUGAGCCAGUCAGGGAUGAGACUGGCAGAGCACUACUACUACAUCCCUUCUGCUUUCUGUCAUAAACCUGGAACACUCUAGCAUGAUUAAAG
rnacentral:lncRNA from 1 species